UAACGAAUAUUGGGCAAUGGGCGAAAGCCUGACCCAGCAAUGCCGCGUGCAGGACGAAGUCCUUCGGGAUGUAAACUGCUGUCAGGGGUCCGCAAGCGAAGGGGUCCAACAGGCCCUGGAGUUGAGCAGCCCCAGAGGAAGCCUCGACUAACUCUGUGCCAGCAGUCGCGGUAAGACAGAGGAGGCAAGCGUUGUUCGGAAUCACUGGGCUUAAAGCGCGUGUAGGCGGCUUAGAAAGUGUCGUGUGAAAUCCCGCGGCUCAACCGCGGAACUGCACGGCAAACUACUUGGCUUGAGGUCGGUAGAGGUGCCUGGAACUCUAGGUGGAGCGGUGAAAUGCGUAGAUAUCUAGAGGAACGCCAGAAGCGAAAGCGGGGCACUGGGCCGAUUCUGACGCUGAGACGCGAAAGCGUGGGGAGCAAACA
rnacentral:rRNA from 1 species